UACGAAGGGGGCUAGCGUUGCUCGGAAUCACUGGGCGUAAAGCGCACGUAGGCGGAUUGUUAAGUCAGGGGUGAAAUCCUGGAGCUCAACUCCAGAACUGCCUUUGAUACUGAGGAUCUUGAGUCCGGGAGAGGUGAGUGGAACUGCGAGUGUAGAGGUGAAAUUCGUAGAUAUUCGCAAGAACACCAGUGGCGAAGGCGGCUCACUGGCCCGGUACUGACGCUGAGGCACGAAAGCGUGGGGGAGCAAACAGG
rnacentral:rRNA from 1 species